rnacentral:lncRNA from 1 species
CUGAUAUCAAAGGGUAAUUCACGUUGGUUUGAGUAACAAGGUGAGAAUUUAUUGUUGACCCUAUAGUACUCUUCAUAUAAGAACUAGAAAUAAAUGGUUUCUUUCGUUUCAGCUCUUUGGCUGGCUUUUUCGCAGAGUUCGUUUUGAUAAUGUUAUCUUUGGCAUUCUAACAGUGAUGUCAAUACAAGGUUAUGCAAACCUCCGUAAUCAAUGGAGCAUAAUAGGAGAAUUUAAUAAUUUGCCUCAGGAAGAACUUUUACAGUGGAUCAAAUACAAUACCACAUCAGAUGCUGUCUUCGCAGGUGCCAUGCCUACAAUGGCAAGCGUCAAGCUGUCUACACUUCAUCCCAUUGUGAAUCAUCCACUUUACGAAGAUGCAGACUUGAGGGCUCGGACAAAAAUAGUUUAUUCUACAUAUAGUCGAAAAUCUGCCAAAGAAGUAGGAGAGAAAUUGUUGGAGUUACAUGUGAAUUAUUAUGUUUUAGAAGAGGCAUGGUGUGUUGUGAGAACUAAGCCUGGUUGCAGUAUGCUUGAAAUCUGUGAUGUGGAAGACCCUUCCAAUGCAGCUAACCCUCCCUUAUGUAGCGUCCUGCUCAAAGAUGCCAGGCCUUACUUCACCACAGUAUUUCAGAAUAGUGUGUACAGAGUAUUGAGGGUUAACUGAGAAGGAAACUACCCAUUACACUAUGGCACAAUGUGGUGUGUCAAAAACAAUCACCCUUUGGCUUAUUUACAUUAAUAAAAAUCACAAGCUUUAAUAACAGACACUUAAAAAUAAGAUAAAAAUGGAUUGAAAGUUUCUCUGAUUACUAAAAGGUAAAUUACUUUUCUGUUCAUUGAAUGUCAGCCUUAUUAAGCUUGUCAUAUAAGUUAUUAAAU